AUUGAACGCUGGCGGCAUGCCUUACACAUGCAAGUCGAACGGCAGCACGGGUGCUUGCACCUGGUGGCGAGUGGCGAACGGGUGAGUAAUACAUCGGAACGUACCUUAUCGUGGGGGAUAACGCAGCGAAAGCUGUGCUAAUACCGCAUACGCCCUGAGGGGGAAAGCGGGGGAUCGAAAGACCUCGCGCGAUUAGAGCGGCCGAUGCCUGAUUAGCUUGUUGGUGGGGUAAAGGCUCACCAAGCCAACGAUCUGUAGCUGGUCUGAGAGGACGACCAGCCACACUGGAACUGAGAUACGGGCCAGACUCCUACGGGAGGCAGCAGUAGGGAAUAUUGGGCAAUGGACGAGAGUCUGACCCAGCCAUGCCGCGUGCAGGAAGACGGCGUUCUGCGUUGUAAACUGCUUUAUCUGGGAAGAAAAGGCCCAUGCGUGGGACAUUGCCGGUACCAGAUGAAUAAGCACCGGCUAACUCCGUG
rnacentral:rRNA from 1 species